UAAACAACAUUUGGCAUGAUCUGAGAAUGUUUUGCAGAGGCACGAGGAACAAGAUGCGAAAAUCAAGAGAUUGUAUGUCAAUCUGAAGAAAUUGGUGCAGGCUGGUAGCCCAGAGGUUUUACAAGAGGUGGUGACAAGCCAGGCGUCUUUAGAGGCCAAGAAACAGAAAGACAUCAGUGCUCCGCAUAACACCCCUCAGAACAGUAAGACCAUGUGGUCCAACAGAGCCAAGCACAGUGAGGCGGAAAGAGGUAGGAUGCAUCUCAAAUGGCACACUAUUCCCUAUAUAGUGCACUACUUUUGACCAAGGACUUAUAUAGGGGAUAGGGUGUCAUUUGGUGUGCAGAUGUAAGAGUUACAUUAGACUCCAGUAUGAUCAUUCUAAUCAUCACAAUAGUGUUGUUAUUGGAGUAUAUUUGUGAUGAUCUUGUCUGUCUCUGAUCAGACUUCACUGCUGCAGAGGAGUUCUAUGAAGAGAAGCUUGGGAAAAUGUGUUUCCGCCUCAUCGGCUUCAAGGCUCUGGUCCACCAGGUCGAGCCUGUCAGCAACAUGCUCAUCUCCCGGCAACAGGGGGGACGGGACAUCCGCAGUGCCAUCCGCCUGUUCCACACACAGCGUCCCGAGCCACCCAAGCUGCCCCACCCUCGACCGCCCCUGAUCAACGCCGAGAAGCGUCUGAUGGGUCGCUGCCUCGGCUCCAUCAGCCUAGCCCCCUUCCAGGUGAUCCAGCGGGCCUACCGGAUGAGGGAGCAGGCCGAGGCCCUGCAGAGGAGGUCCCAGCAGGUGGCCCAUUCCCAGGCUCGGAGGGAGGGCGCCCAGGGCCAGCGCCACGGCCUCCUGGAGGCCCGCAGGGAGGUAGUGCUCCAGGUGAGAGAGAAGGAGCAGGAGGAGGUGGAGGGGGCACUGGCCCUGCUGAGAGCUAGCCAGGACAGGGAGGUGCAGGAGGUCAGGCAGAGACACGCUGUGUUCCUGGAGGAGAAGAGGAGGCGGGCAUCGGAACGGGCCAUGGUUGUCGCCUUCAGCAGGCAGCAUGCCUUUCUGUCCAAGACAGUCAACAGGCAUGCUGUGCUGCAGAGGCAGAGUCACACCCAGCAGGAGAGGAGUGUCAUGGUUGCCAGCAGCAGGCAGCAGUCCAGGAUUCAGAGGGAACUCAUAAUGGGAUGCAUAGAGGACAGGCAACAGUCUCUAAAGGAGGAGGCCAUUACAUCCAGAGUGAACAGAGACACUUAUCUAGCCACGAAGCACACCAACCAACUCCUCCGAGCCCAGGAGAGAGUGGCCAGAGUGAAGGCCAACCAUGCCAAGAUGGAGGUCCUGCAUCCUGUACCAGUCAACCAGACUGCCUGA
rnacentral:lncRNA from 8 species